rnacentral:lncRNA from 1 species
AAGAGCUCAAAGACUAGAAAUUUAGUGGCAGAUGCGGAUGAACUCAUGUGCAUGAUAUGUUCUUGGUACGUACGGGGACGUGAGAGUCGCGGGCGCUGCGCUUGGGGUCGGUGGCGGAGAAGACUGUGUAGACGAGGACGAAGGUGCCGAUGAUCUCCGCCCCGAGGGCGGUGCCCUUGGAGUAGCCGGUUGCGACCACGUUGGCCCCGCCGCCGAGGGAGUUGUACUGGUGUUUCAUGAUCCCUUUCACGAUGCCCACCCCGACGAUGCCUCCCAAGCACUGAGCCACAAUAUACAGCACCGCCCUUAUCAGCGACACCUUCCUCGCUAGGAACAGCCCGAACGUCACCGCCGGGUUGAUGUGUCCUCCUGAAAACCCAAGCAAGUUAUGAGCAUACGAGCAGAUCGGUUUAGUAUGGGUGGGUCGAAGCUGGCGAGGUGGAUGAAGGAGGACCUGAGAUUCCGGCGGUGCAGUAGACGAGGAUGAAG